CCAAUAGCGUAUAUUAAAGUUGUUGCAGUUAAAAAGCUCGUAGUUGAAUUUCGGGAUUGGCGCAUCGGUCGUGCCUCACGGGGUAUGAACUGGUGCAGUCAAUUUCUCACCUUCUGGAGAACCGCGAUGUCCUUAAUUGGAUGCCGCGGGGAACCAGGACCUUUACUUUGAAAAAAUUAGAGUGUUUAAAGCAGGCAUUUUUGCUUGAAUACAUUAGCAUUGAAUAAUAAAAUAGGACGGCAUGGUUCUAUUUUUUUGGUUUCUAGUACCACCGUAAUGAUUAAUAGGGAUAGUUGGGGGCAUUAGUAUUCAAUUGUCAGAGGUGAAAUUCUUGGAUUUAUUGAAGACUAACUACUGCGAAAGCAUUUGCCAAGGAUGUUUUCAUUAAUCAAGAACGAAAGUUAGGGGAUCGAAGACGAUCAGAUACCGUCGUAGUCUUAACCAUAAACUAUGCCGACUAGGAAUCAGACGAUGUUAAUUUUUUAAUGACUCGUUUGGCACCUUACG
rnacentral:rRNA from 1 species